UACAACAUUACCAAUCUCAGUCACCUUCACUUAAUAACCAUUUGGAAGUAUGACAAGUAAGGGAUAAGGUAAAGUUACUAUGUUGGUUAACAAGGAUCUAUAAAAGGUCAUGCUGUUUGAUGCUCCUAAAUCUAUUAUUCAUGAGUCACUUUUGUUUUUGAAACAUUCAGAUGAGAGUUUACCAAAGUCAAUAGAGGAAGUGCAAGUUAUGAUACCUGCAAAGUUUGCUGCAGUCUCUUCCUCCUCCUAACUGAAAUUGCUGCAGCAGGUUCACUAGCCGGCUAUAUUCUUCCUUGGUGAGGCUUAAAUUUUGAGCAGUGUUGUUCUCAUUAUCAGCAUGUUGAGCAUCUGUGGUUACUACAUAUGCAUUAGCCAUCCUCUAUUUCCUUUAUUGAACUUGGUAUUCUAGUUCACAUUGGGAUUAUUCCAUAGUUACAAUUUUGUCUUGGAUUCUGACUGAAAUUGGAAGCUUGAUUGUGUCUUGUAUUUGGAUUCUGAUUUUCAUUAAAACCUUGAGGAUAGCCAUGGAGUUUGUAACACUUCUUUUUUGUGUGCCUUGGUCUUUUGCAAUAGUCACAAAAAGGUCUGUUCCUGUUGUUAGGAGAAAGUUUGUUUCGAAAAAUCAUGUAUUGCUUGUGUUAACACUUAGGGUUGAUGACUCAAGAGCCAAAUAGUUAUGAGGCUUGAUCUCUCUAUCUUUCUCUCUUUCCUCUUGAAUAAUGAAAAAGGCUUGUGCAAUUUUAGGAAGAUGAUUCAUCAUGAGGAUAUACCUCGAACCACAAUGCACGUUUUAUUCAAUCCCAUAAGAAAUUGUAUUAACCUUCUGUCUUAUUCUGCUUUGUGGAUAGUUUCCUUAGCUCCACAUGUGCAAUUGCAAGUACAAUGAGAUUUAGAGAUCAGAGUGGUGAGUUCCUCCCAUAACUUCUUCACUGAGUGUAAUAACUAGUAAUUUCAAGGGCUCCUUGGGACAAUUAUUGAUCUCCUUUUGGAUAUGGUAUAAUUUCGUCCUAUUAGUUUGAUCAUAUCGAUCUUCAAGUUCCUUCUACAAAUUGAUUGCAUCUGUCACAUACUUAACACUGUCUGCAAUUUCCCUUUUCUAAUGAAUUCAGAAUCCAUAAAGUCACCAUAUCGUCAAACCUCUCCCACAAUCGAUAGUUUGAGGAGCCCAGUUCUGGUCGUUUGUGAUCCCCAUUGAUGAAGCCCAGUUUAUUCUUCACUGAUAGGGCUCUUAUCACACAUCUUCUUCAUGAACGAUAACCAAAACCAUCAAAUGGAACAGGAACUAAUAUUGCUCCUAGGUUAUCAGACGGAUGCAUGUAAAAAGGACUACUAGUGUCAAUAGUUGGUUGAUUAGAAGAUUCAGCCAUAGGUGGUGUGGACUACUCAUCGUCUCCGACGGUAACCAUCUCGUAUUUCGUGAAUUUAAGCCGAUUAAACACUAGAGGGUUGUAACUACAGAUUUAGGACUCUAACAGAGAAUUCCAAAAGCUAUGACUUAGAGAUCGAUGAGAAGAGAAUUUGCAUGUGUGUGAUCAAAUUGAAAUCGAGACUAAUGGAUUUAGAUCUGACAAAUUUAGAGGAAUGACUCAAAACAUUUGGCCUUGCUCUAAUACCAUAUCAAAAUCCGCCAAUGGAACAAUGAUUUAAAUCUCAACUGAGCUUACGCCAAUGGUGGAAGAGCUUAGCUCUCACGCCAUGAAACGCAAAGAAGCUCGAAGAAGGGGGGAGAGAGAGAGGAACAUUCUAGAAAAAUGUUUUGCUCAAU
rnacentral:lncRNA from 1 species